rnacentral:rRNA from 1 species
UACGUAGGGUCCAAGCGUUAUCCGGAUUUAUUGGGCGUAAAGCACAUGUAGGUGGAUUGACACGUCUCGUCUUAAAGCUCUGGGCUUAACUCAGAAUCUGGACGAGAUACGAUCUUUCUAGUGGUCAGCAGGGGCAAACGGAAUUCCCGGUGUAGGAGUGAAAUGCGUAGAGAUCGGCAGGAACACCCAGGGGGAAACCAGUCGACUGGGCAUCUACUGACGCUGAGGUGCGAGAGCGUGGGGAGCGAACCGG